AAAGGUGACCGUAUGCGCCUCUAUGGCGGCGACCUCCGAGUCCUCCUCCUCUGCUUCAGACCCGAAACUUGAUCUCAUAAAAACGAUGCGAAGUCAUGAAGUUGCUUUGGCAGAGCUGAAUAAUCUUUCAUCGUCUCGGACUGUCUAUCAGAAAAAUGGGAACAUAUUUUUUCGUACAACUAUCCAAAAAGCAACAGCAUCUGAAAAGAAACAACUUGAUUCUGCCAAAGCCAAGCUAGAAAAGCUGAGUAAUGUUUGAUUACAAUUUGGUUCAUUGCUUCAAAACUGGACUAAUAUCUUGCUGAUGAAAAUGCUUUCAGUAGUAUCAACAUCAGUCAGUGAUUAAAACUUUCUGGCCGCCACAGUUUAGUCCCAUUCGAAUGCUUCAAUAUCUUAAAAUUCUAGGAAUUCGCGGCUAGGGAUGGCUGUUUAUUCUCUCAGUGAUUAAAAAUUUUAAUCAUCAGGGUGACACCUUACCGUGCUUUUUAACACAACCACUUCACACGAUAAUGUAUAAUAUAUCCAAGAAAAGGAGAAGUAAACAAC
rnacentral:misc_RNA from 1 species